AAAAUUGAUGAUGACGACCUGGUUUCUUACCAAUUGGUAGGGCUGGACAUCGAAUACAAUCCGUUGGUGGCUUCUCUUCUUGGGAGAUCAGCAACUGAUCCAAUUACUCUCAACGACUUGUAUGCACAACUCCUCAGCUAUGACA
rnacentral:snoRNA from 1 species